GUUUGUUCGAUCGAUUCCAAAUUUUUAUCUCAUCUUAGACUGGAACUUACAGAAAGCUGUCCUUUCUGUCCUGAGCAUAUUCUUUUGAAAUCCCAACACUGAUGGAGGCUUAAAUGUCGAGGGGAAACACUGACAGGGAAUAAGGAUAUCGAAAGGACUUUGAGAUGACAAGCUAGCUGAGCCUUUUGUCUCUGAGGACUUUGUUUAAAAAUCUCAAUCACCAGUGGUGCUAUCAUUACGGUGCCUUCGUGUGUCGAAGUUUUGGCAAACAUGUACACGGUCAAGAUUUUUAAAUU